AGAGUUUGAUCUGGCUCAGGAUGAACGCUAGCGGGAGGCUUAACACAUGCAAGUCGAGCGGUAAUUCCGAGCAAUCGGGACAAGAGCGGCGUACGGGUGCGUAACGCGUAUGCAACCUGCCUUAUGCUGGGGGAUAGCCCAUGGAAACGUGGAUUAAUACCCCAUAAUAUCUAGGAUUCGCCUGAAUUUUAGAUUAAAAUUUCGGUGGCAUAAGAUGGGCAUGCGUCUGAUUAGCUAGUUGGUGAGGUAACGGCUCACCAAGGCGACGAUCAGUAGGGGUUCUGAGAGGAUUAUCCCCCACACUGGUACUGAGACACGGACCAGACUCCUACGGGAGGCAGCAGUGAGGAAUAUUGGUCAAUGGGCGGAAGCCUGAACCAGCCAUCCCGCGUGCAGGAUGACGGCCUUAUGGGUUGUAAACUGCUUUUCUACGUGAAGAAACGGUUCUACGAGUAGGGCACUGACGGUAGCGUAGGAAUAAGCAUCGGCUAACUCCGUGCCAGCAGCCGCGGUAAUACGGAGGAUGCAAGCGUUAUCCGGAUUCAUUGGGUUUAAAGGGUGCGCAGGCGGGGAAGUAAGUCAGUGGUGAAAACUACCGCUUAACGGUAGUCGUGCCAAUGAUACUGCUUUUCUUGAGUUUGGAUGAGGUAAGCGGAAUGUGCAGUGUAGCGGUGAAAUGCAUAGAGAUUGCACAGAACACCAAUUGCGAAGGCAGCUUACUAAACCAGGACUGACGCUGAGGCACGAAAGCGUGGGGAGCAAACAGGAUUAGAUACCCUGGUAGUCCACGCUGUAAACGAUGUUCACUCGCUGUUUGCGAUAUACAGUAAGCGGCUUAGCGAAAGCAUUAAGUGAACCACCUGGGGAGUACGAUCGCAAGGUUGAAACUCAAAGGAAUUGACGGGGGCCCGCACAAGCGGAGGAACAUGUGGUUUAAUUCGAUGAUACGCGAGGAACCUUACCUGGGCUUAAAUGCAGAGUGCAUGCGGUGGAAACACCCUUCCCUUCGGGGCUUUCUGCAAGGUGCUGCAUGGUUGUCGUCAGCUCGUGCCGUGAGGUGUCGGGUUAAGUCCCAUAACGAGCGCAACCCUUACCGUUAGUUGCCAACAGGUCAAGCUGGGGACUCUGACGGGACUGCCACCGUAAGGUGAGAGGAAGGUGGGGAUGACGUCAAAUCAGCACGGCCCUUAUGUCCAGGGCUACACACGUGUUACAAUGGUCGGUACAAAGGGCAGCUACUCCGCGAGGAGAUGCUAAUCUCGAAAGCCGGUCUCAGUUCGGAUCGAAGUCUGCAACCCGACUUCGUGAAGCUGGAUUCGCUAGUAAUCGCGCAUCAGCCAUGGCGCGGUGAAUACGUUCCCGGGCCUUGUACACACCGCCCGUCAAACCAUGGGAGCUGGGGGUGCCUGAAGUCUGUGAUCUCGAUUUAUCGGGAAGCGGCCUAGGGUAAAACCAGUGACUGGGGUUAAGUCGUAACAAGGUAGCCGUACCGGAAGGUGUGGCUGGAUCACCUCCUUA
rnacentral:rRNA from 1 species